AUACAGAGGGUGCGAGCGUUAAUCGGAAUUACUGGGCGUAAAGCGCGCGUAGGCGGCUUGGUCAGUCGGAUGUGAACGCCCCGGGCUCAACCUGGGAAUGGCAUUCGAUACUGCCAGGCUAGAGUAUGGGAGAGGGAAGUGGAAUUUCCGGUGUAGCGGUGAAAUGCGUAGAUAUCGGAAGGAACACCAGUGGCGAAGGCGACUUCCUGGCCCAAUACUGACGCUGAGGUGCGAAAGCGUGGGGAGCGAGCAGGAUUAGAAACCCCAGUAGUCC
rnacentral:rRNA from 1 species